rnacentral:rRNA from 1 species
AGAGUUUGAUCAUGGCUCAGGAUGAACGCUGGCGGCGUGCCUAACACAUGCAAGUCGAACGUGAAGAGUGGCUUCGGCUGCUCUGAAAGUGGCGAACGGGUGAGUAACACGUGGGUGACCUGCCUUCGAGUGGGGGAUAACAUCCCGAAAGGGGUGCUAAUACCGCAUGACAUCCUGCCUUUGAACAGGUGGAGAUUAAAGCUGGGGAUCGCAAGACCUGGCGCUUGAAGAGGGGCCCGCGUCCGAUUAGCUAGUUGGUGGGGUAAUGGCCUACCAAGGCGACGAUCGGUAGCCGGCCUGAGAGGGCGGACGGCCACACUGGGACUGAGACACGGCCCAGACUCCUACGGGAGGCAGCAGUGGGGAAUUGUUCGCAAUGGGCGCAAGCCUGACGACGCAACGCCGCGUGGAGGAUGAAGAUUUUCGGAUCGUAAACUCCUUUCGAUCGGGACGAAUGGCUAGUGGUUGAAUACGCCACUGGAUUGACGGUACCGAGAGAAGAAGCCCCGGCUAACUCCGUGCCAGCAGCCGCGGUAAUACGGGGGGGGCAAGCGUUGUUCGGAAUUACUGGGCGUAAAGGGCGCGUAGGCGGCCUGCUAAGUCACACGUGAAAUCCCUCGGCUCAACCGGGGAACUGCGUGUGAUACUGGCGGGCUUGAAUUCGGGAGAGGGAUGUGGAAUUCCAGGUGUAGCGGUGAAA